UUGCUAUAAUUGGUCCUGGCGAUGGCAAUCGAAUUUUCUAAGAAUAUUCACUCCGAUGCAUCGCUCAUUUUUCUCUCUCUUUCAAUCCACAAAACCCUAGCCAGAUUUCAUGUCUUCAGUCUUCGUCUCUGAGGUAGCAUAUCCGAGUUCAAAUAUUUUGACUGCUAUUUUAUCAAUUUAAUGUACUAGAUGGCAACGGACUAUUAGCUGCUGCUUCAGAAAAAACAGAUAAAAGAAUCUGCCUCCUGAUAAGAGAGAAGCAACAGAGAAUGGACCAUAUUACCUCAUUGCCAUAUGAAUUUGAUAUCUGUCAGCUUUAUUCCAUUCCAAAUGCUUCGAUGUCCAGAAAAGAUCCACAGAUCAUGAGCGGUGUACCCACAAUAACAACAAUGUUAUCAGAACUCUCAAUAUUGUAUUUGCUAUCGAGGAAUUUAGCUUGGAAUGUCACCUCGUUAAUGACAUA